GACGAACGCUGGCGGCGUGCUUAACACAUGCAAGUCGAACGGAAAGGCCCUGCUUUUGUGGGGUGCUCGAGUGGCGAACGGGUGAGUAACACGUGAGUAACCUGCCCUUGACUUUGGGAUAACUUCAGGAAACUGGGGCUAAUACCGGAUAGGAGCUCCUGCUGCAUGGUGGGGGUUGGAAAGUUUCGGCGGUUGGGGAUGGACUCGCGGCUUAUCAGCUUGUUGGUGGGGUAGUGGCUUACCAAGGCUUUGACGGGUAGCCGGCCUGAGAGGGUGACCGGCCACAUUGGGACUGAGAUACGGCCCGGACUCCUACGGGAGGCAGCAGUGGGGAAUAGUGCACAAUGGGCGGAAGCCUGAUGCAGCAACGCCGCGUGCGGGAUGACGGCCUUCGGGUUGUAAACCGCUUUCGCCUGUGACGAAGCGUGAGUGACGGUAAUGGGUAAAGAAGCACCGGCUAACUACGUG
rnacentral:rRNA from 1 species